GUCGUGAGAUGUUGGUUAAGGUCCCGUAACCGAGCGCAACCCUUCGUCCUUAGUUACCAGCACGUUAUGGUGGGCACUCUAAGGAGACUGCCGGUGACAAACCGGAGGAAGGUGGGGAUGACGUCAAGUCAUCAUGGCCCUUACGGCCUGGGCUACACACGUGCUACAAUGGUCGGUACAAAGGGUUGCCAAGCCGCGAGGUGGAGCUAAUCCCAUAAAACCGAUCGUAGUCCGGAUCGCAGUCUGCAACUCGACUGCGUGAAGUCGGAAUCGCUAGUAAUCGUGAAUCAGAAUGUCACGGUGAAUACGUUCCCGGGCCUU
rnacentral:rRNA from 1 species